UCUGUUGUUUGGAGGCGUGGCAGAAGAACUUCGCAGCCACCGCAGAGGGAGGUUUCGCAAAAAGUGGGCCGCAGGAUCGACCCUGAGGCCCUCCUUCCGCCGUUCUAUUUUUACACAGUUGCCCCUUUGAUCGAAGGUCUGGGUUUGUUCGGGUUGUUACGCGAAAUGAAGCUCUGCUCCUUCCACCCCUCCUUCUCUGGCGUUCGUUUGUUGUUCAUCAUCUCUGACAGUUCGGCUCUUUCUUUCUUCUUCUCUUAUCUUCUCAUUGAAAGGAACCUCUGUCCAUGAGUCUCCAUCCUCUUCCUUCCUCUCCCUCGAACCUGCACAGCCCGCUUCUUCCACCGUAGCGCGAUUCUUUGGUGAAAGAUCAAAGAGGAAGAUGUACUAUCAUCGCCUGAAGAGGUUCAUAGUUUAAACUCUAUAGAGGUUGAUACUUUCUCCCUGCCCAACUUAGCAGUGCCUCCAAAUGCCUACACAGGCAUACGCAAGAAAAUUUCUUCUUUGAGACGUUGGCUUGCCAUCUGUGCUGAUGAUGCAACAAAGGGAGGAAGGUAACAAGUAACUGCCUGAAGGAUAUACUAGGUGAAUGAUAGGCCUUUAUCCUGCAGAAGGUGUUCCUUGCUCAAGGAUCUUGGCGACAAGCAUGAUAAAGCAAUUAGCAAAAUGCCCUUUUAGAUGGGAGUGUUGCUCCGCGGUUAAAGAUAUGAGAUUUUGGUUACUCUA